rnacentral:misc_RNA from 1 species
UCAACCCUCAAGCCCCGGCUUGGUGUUGGGCCCCGGGUCGCGCCCGCGCGACCGGCCCCAAAGGCAGUGACGGAGUCGGUUGGACCCCCGGUACAAUGAGCUUCCCACGAGGCACGUACCGUGACGGGCACUCCCGGCAAACGGUCGACUUUUUUCCAUCUCAA